GUCAUUUUAUAUAAAUCGAUAAUUUAUAUAAUAAUAAUCGUAUAAAAAUUCCAUUAGAAAUAUCAAGUGUUCCUUCAGAGCUGGGAGUAAUUUUUUCCUUCAUGACCAACCACAAAUCAGUGGCUGCCAGCCUGAGCCGACCUACUAGCGUUGCCUCCAUUUCUUCUACUGCCAAAUUGAAGAUCACAAAAGAAGCACCUCCUAACCAUCGGUAAAGCCGGUGGAGCAGUAGCAGAGCUGAUGAGCAGAUCAUCCAAAAAAGAUUAUAGCAAUUGACCUUUUAAAGGGCUCCUUGGGGUUUCUACUGUUGGAUAUAUGAGCUAGCCAAAAAUAAAUGGAUUACUUAAAGCACUUGGAGCUGCAUCAAAGCAGCAACGCAUCGCCUACAAAGUUCGAGGGAUUGCAGCCGCCGGUUCCAGAUUUGAUGCUAUUAAAUGUAAUUAAAUCUAAUUAAAACUAAUUAUAAUAAUAUUCACCAUGUGCUCAAUUAUCAUCAUUGCCGAUGUCAAUCCGAUUUGAAGUGCGACUCAUUUCAAAACAAAUUUGUUAAGUAUGUGAAGCACUGCUAAUUAAAAAAUAUUGGAUUAUUAAAUCCCAUCUCAAAUAAUAAUGUUGAGUCAUAUUUAAAUUGUUCCAUGCUCCAUAACUAACAAAAUAAAU